GACGAACGCUGGCGGCGUGCUUAACACAUGCAAGUCGAACGGAAAGGCCCUGCUUUUGUGGGGUGCUCGAGUGGCGAACGGGUGAGUAACACGUGAGUAACCUGCCCUUGCCUUUGGGAUAACUUCAGGAAACUGGGGCUAAUACCGGAUAGGAGCUCCUGCUGCAUGGUGGGGGUUGGAAAGUUUCGGCGGUUGGGGAUGGACUCGCGGCUUAUCAGCUUGUCGGUGGGGUAGUGGCUUACCAAGGCUUUGACGGGUAGCCGGCCUGAGAGGGUGACCGGCCACAUUGGGACUGAGAUACGGCCCAGACUCCUACGGGAGGCAGCAGUGGGGAGUAUUGCACAAUGGGCGGAAGCCUGAUGCAGCAACGCCGCGUGCGGGAUAACGGCCUUCGGGUUGUAAACCGCUUUCGCCUGUGACGAAGCGUGAGUGACGGUAAUGGGUAAAGAAGCACCGGCUAACUACGUG
rnacentral:rRNA from 1 species